rnacentral:rRNA from 1 species
UACGUAGGCAGCAAGCGUUGUUCGGAGUUACUGGGCGUAAAGGGUGUGUAGGCGGUUGUUUAAGUUUGGUGUGAAAUCUCCCGGCUCAACUGGGAGGGUGCGCCGAGUACUGAAUGACUAGAGUGUGGGAGAGGUGAGUGGAAUUCCUGGUGUAGCGGUGAAAUGCGUAGAUAUCAGGAGGAACACCAGUGGCGAAGGCGGUUGCCUGGGGCUUUGCUGACGCUGAUGCGCGAAAGCGUGGGGAGCGAUCCGG